rnacentral:rRNA from 1 species
UACGUAGGGUGCAAGCGUUAAUCGGAAUUACUGGGCGUAAAGCGUGCGCAGGCGGCUUUGCAAGACAGAUGUGAAAUCCCCGGGCUUAACCUGGGAACUGCAUUUGUGACUGCAUGGCUAGAGUGCGGCAGAGGGGAUGGAAUUCCGCGGUGUAGCAGUGAAAUGCGUAGAUAUGCGGAGGAACACCGAUGGCGAAGGCAAUCCCCUGGGCCUGCACUGGACGCUCAUGCACGAAAGCGUGGGGAGCAAACAGG